AUUCCUAUGAGGCCUUCCUGGAUGUCCCCUUGGAUAUCAAAGCAGCCUCAUCCCUCACUGCAGCUCUGGAGGACUUUGUAACACCUGAGCACCUGGAUGGUGAAAACUGCUUUAAAUGUAGCAAGUGUGAGAAGAAUGUUGCCGCCACUAAGAGGUUCACUGUCCACUGUGCACCCAAGGUUCUCACUGUGUGUCUGAAGAG